rnacentral:misc_RNA from 1 species
GAUGAAGAACGUAGCGAAAUGCGAUAAGUAAUGUGAAUUGCAGAAUUCAGUGAAUCAUCGAAUCUUUGAACGCAUCUUGCGCUCCUUGGUAUUCUGAGGAGCAUGCCUGUUUGAGUGUCAUUAAAUUCUCAACUACACUGACUUUGAAUUGGUGUGGCUUGGAUUUGGGGGGAAAAUUGUUUGGGCUUUUUGUAUAGUCUGCUCCCCUGAAAUUGAUUAGCGGUACCUUUGUGGAACUGUCUACAGGUGUGAUAAUUAUCUACAUCUUAGACAUCUGCUGGAAUGCUGCUUUCUAAACCUUACUUGUAUUGACAAUCUUGACCUCAAAUCAGGUAGGACUACCCGCUGAACUUAAGCAUAUCAAUAAGCGGAGGA